CACGUAGUUAGCCGUGGCUUAUUCCUCUGGUACUUUCAAUGCCCGGCGCACCGGUCUUUUAUCCCCAGAGAAAAGCAGUUUACAACCCAGAAGGCUUUCUUCCUGCACGCGGCAUGGUUGGAUCAGGCUUGCACCCAUUGUCCAAUAUUCCCUA
rnacentral:rRNA from 1 species